rnacentral:rRNA from 1 species
UACGUAGGGUGCGAGCGUUGUCCGGAAUUAUUGGGCGUAAAGGGCUCGUAGGCGGUUUGUCGCGUCGGGAGUGAAAACACACAGCUUAACUGUGUGCUUGCUUUCGAUACGGGCAGACUUGAGGCAUGCAGGGGAGAACGGAAUUUCUGGUGUAGCGGUGAAAUGCGCAGAUAUCAGAAGGAACACCGGUGGCGAAGGCGGUUCUCUGGGCAUGUUCUGACGCUGAGGAGCGAAAGUGUGGGGAGCGAACAGG